CAGUCGCCACGGUAAUACGUAGGUGGCAAGCGUUGUCCGGAAUUAUUGGGCGUAAAGGGCUCGCAGGCGGUUUCUUAAGUCUGAUGUGAAAGCCCCCGGCUCAACCGGGGAGGGUCAUUGGAAACUGGGAAACUUGAGUGCAGAAGAGGAGAGUGGAAUUCCACGUGUAGCGGUGAAAUGCGUAGAGAUGUGGAGGAACACCAGCGGCGAAGGCGACUCUCUGGUCUGUAACUGACGCUGAGGAGCGAGAGCGUGGGGAGCGAACAGGAUUAGAUACCCGCGUAGUCCCUGUCUCUUAUAC
rnacentral:rRNA from 1 species